UGCAUUCACUACUGUAAGUCGCUCUGUAUAAGAGCGUCUACUAAAUGACUAAAA
rfam:Salmo salar isolate Sally breed double haploid chromosome ssa21, whole genome shotgun sequence.